UAAGGCGCUGUAGGAAGGCUAGUGCCGAGUUUUCAAUCUUUUAUUUAUUUAAUUCUUAUGCAUAAUACUGAAUUGAUCACAUUGUGAUAAAUAUAUGAUAAAAUUGAGAACUAAUACUAAUUAGUGACUAAGUCGAAAUCCCAAUUUUAUUAAAUUUUCUCGAUAGAAAAAAAUUGCAAAGUGACCUCUAAGAUUGUACAAUAAACCGAUAGUAUUCAAUAAAUACUUCGAAUUAGAUCAUAAAACUUUUCAUAAUUAUUGAACUCAACAUUCUGUAGGUAGUGACUGUUUUAUUUUUUUUAAUUAUUCAUUAUUUACACUUUUAAACAAGAUUAUCUGAUAUAGCAGGCGUUAAAACCAUUCUUACUUGGACCGCCGCGCCUCCCGGCUCCCAAAUCAGUCUGGCUUCAGCCUUCGUACGAGAAACCUGUGUCGCUUUGCGCUCCGUGAUAGAAACUGAUCCGUGACUAAUAAAUUUACUAAGUAUAAUUUUAACGGUUGUAGUAAGCAACUUACUUUUGAAGAAUUGUAACAAAUGUAAAUUUAUAUUGAUUUCGUGCUUAGUAUUAAUAAUUCUUAAUGUUACUAUCCUUGCAAAUUGCUAAUGCGCAGGAACCUUGUCACAUUAAGAGCCACGUGACGUCACCCAGAAUAGAAAAGUACAGCUUGCAAAAAAGAAAUGCAAUUGUAAAUUUAAUAGGUGAAGUGUGAUAGAAACUGAUCCGUGACUAAUUACUAAGUAUAAUUUUGUGACUUCGCAAAAAUGGGAAAUAAAUGCAACAAGAAAAGGAAGAGCCUAAGUUGUAGAAAAAAAGCUGCUCAACAUAUGCUUAACGUAAUAAAAAGACGUAGAUUAGACGCUGAUGAAGAUAGUAAUGCUAAUAAAGAGAACAUACCGCUGCCGACGCUGCUGCAGCCCCCACCGCGGCCACCGCAGCCGCCCUCACUCCCGCCGCCGGCAAAACCAGGAACAUCCGAAGACGUGCCAAAUGUUAUUGAAUCUCUACAAAGUAACUAUGUAACAAUGCAGGAAGAAACAACAGAUGACUUGCCGUAUAUUUCAGAGGCUGAAUCGCAAAAAGAUACAAACUUACCAAUGCAGGGUCGGAGAAUUGUAGAUAUGGUGCACUUUAUA